UGACGGGGGNNCGCACAAGCAGCGGAGCAUGUGGUUUAAUUCGAAGCAACGCGAAGAACCUUACCUAGACUUGACAUCUCCUGCAUAACCCUUAACCGGGGAAGUCCUUCGGGACAGGAUGACAGGUGGUGCAUGGUUGUCGUCAGCUCGUGUCGUGAGAUGUUGGGUUAAGUCCCGCAACGAGCGCAACCCCUAUUGUUAGUUGCUACCAUUAAGUUGAGCACUCUAGCGAGACUGCCUAGGUUAACUAGGAGGAAGGCGGGGAUGACGUCAAAUCAUCAUGCCCCUUAUGUCUAGGGCUACACACGUGCUACAAUGGAUAGUACAAUAAGACGCAAUAUCGUGAGGUGGAGCAAAUCUUAUAAAACUAUUCUCAGUUCGGAUUGUAGGCUGAAACUCGCCUACAUGAAGUUGGAGUUGCUAGUAAUCGCGAAUCAGAAUGUCGCGGUGAAUACGUUCCCGGGCCUUGUACACACCGCCCGUCACACCAUGAGAGCUGGUAACACCCGAAGUCCGUGNCCCAACCCGCAAGGGAGGGAGCGGCCGAAGGUGGGAUUAGUGAUUGGGGUGAAGUCGUAACAAGGUAACC
rnacentral:rRNA from 1 species